CUCUGCGGAUUCUGUGGCUGUGUCACCCUCAUCCCGCAGCAUGAAACUCAUCGCUCUCCUCUUCCUGACUGCCCUGGCCGGGGCCCUGGUCUGUGCCCAAGACGCCCCGGUAGAAGAAACCCCUACUGAGACCCCUGCUGAGACCCCUGCCGAGACCCCUGCCGAGACCCCUGCUGAAACCCCUGCUCCAGCGGAGGCCACCCAGGAGACGCCUGCACCUGCCCAGGAGACACCGGCAGCGACCCAGGCCACUUCGGCAGCGACCCAGGCGACAAGCAGUAUCACCCCAGCGAAAUCUGGCUCCUUUCUGGAUGGCUUAAAAAAUAAGUUCAAGGUUCUGCUCGGGUGAGUUGAAGGCAAGAAGAAACCAACUGCGGGUGGAAUUUCCUUACGGGAAAAACAGCCGUCACUGGACUCCAAGCCUCAUGGCCCUAAACUAUUAAACUGAGAGCAUCCA